UACGUAGGUGACCAGCGUUGUCCGGAUUUACUGGGCGUAAAGAGCGCGCAGGCGGUCGUUCAAGUCGCGUGUGAAAGCCCCCGGCUCAACUGGGGAGGGUCACUCGAUACUGAUCGACUUGAAGGCAGGAGAGGGAAGCGGAAUUCCCGGUGUAGUGGUGAAAUGCGUAGAUAUCGGGAGGAACACCAGUGGCGAAGGCGGCUUCCUGGCCUGUUCUUGACGCUGAGGCGCGAAAGCGUGGGGAGCGAACAGG
rnacentral:rRNA from 1 species